UACGUAGGUGGCAAGCGUUGUCCGGAUUUACUGGGCGUAAAGAGCGCGCAGGCGGUCGUAUAAGUCGAAUGUGAAAGCCCCUGGCUCAACUAGGGAGAGUCAUUCGAUACUGUUCGACUCGAAGGCAGGAGAGGGAAGUGGAAUUCCGGGUGUAGUGGUGAAAUGCGUAGAUAUCCGGAGGAACACCGAUGGCGAAGGCAGAUCUCUGGGCCGUAACUGACGCUGAGGAGCGAAAGCAUGGGGAGCGAACAGG
rnacentral:rRNA from 1 species